rnacentral:rRNA from 1 species
AAAUUGAAGAGUUUGAUCAUGGCUCAGGUUGAACGCUGGCGGCAGGCCUAACACAUGCAAGUCGAACGGUAACAGGAAGCAGCUUGCUGCUUCGCUGACGAGUGGCGGACGGGUGAGUAAUGUCUGGGAAACUGCCUGAUGGAGGGGGAUAACUACUGGAAACGGUGGCUAAUACCGCAUAACGUCGCAAGACCAAAGAGGGGGACCUUCGGGCCUCUUGCCAUCAGAUGUGCCCAGAUGGGAUUAGCUAGUUGGUGAGGUAACGGCUCACCAAGGCGACGAUCCCUAGCUGGUCUGAGAGGAUGACCAGCCACACUGGAACUGAGACACGGUCCAGACUCCUACGGGAGGCAGCAGUGGGGAAUAUUGCACAAUGGGCGCAAGCCUGAUGCAGCCAUGCCGCGUGUAUGAAGAAGGCCUUCGGGUUGUAAAGUACUUUCAGCGGGGAGGAAGGUGUUG